rnacentral:rRNA from 1 species
GACGAACGCUGGCGGCGUGCUUAACACAUGCAAGUCGAACGAUGAAGGAGAGCUUGCUCUCCGGAUUAGUGGCGAACGGGUGAGUAACACGUGAGUAACCUGCCCUUGACUCUGGGAUAACUGCGGGAAACUGUAGCUAAUACCGGAUACGACCCUCGGCGGCAUCGCCAGGGGGUGGAAAGAAUUUCGGUCAAGGAUGGACUCGCGGCCUAUCAGCUAGUUGGUGAGGUAACGGCUCACCAAGGCGACGACGGGUAGCCGGCCUGAGAGGGUGACCGGCCACACUGGGACUGAGACACGGCCCAGACUCCUACGGGAGGCAGCAGUGGGGAAUAUUGCACAAUGGGCGCAAGCCUGAUGCAGCAACGCCGCGUGAGGGAUGACGGCCUUCGGGUUGUAAACCUCUUUUAGUAGGGAAGAAGCGAAAGUGACGGUACCUGCAGAAAAAGCACCGGCUAACUACGUGCCAGCCGCCGCCGUAA